AGAGUUUGAUCAUGGCUCAGAGUGAACGCUGGCGGCAGGCCUAAUACAUGCAAGUCGAACGGCAGCACAGUGGAGCUUGCUCCAUGGGUGGCGAGUGGCGGACGGGUGAGGAAUACAUGGGAAUCUGCCCAGUCGUGGGGGAUAACGUAGGGAAACUUACGCUAAUACCGCAUGCGCCCUUCGGGGGAAAGCCGGGGACCGUAAGGCCUGGCGCGAUUGGAUGAGCCCAUGUCGGAUUAGCUAGUUGGCGGGUAACGGCCCACCAAGGCGACGAUCCGUAGCUGGUCUGAGAGGAUGAUCAGCCACACUGGAACUGAGACACGGUUCAGACUCCUACGGGAGGCAGCAGUAGGGAAUAUUGGACAAUGGGCGCAAGCCUGAUCCAGCCAUGCCGCGUGAGUGAAGAAGGCCCUCGGGUUGUAAAGCUCUUUUGUCCGGAAAGAAAAGCACUGGGUUAAUACCCCGGUGUCCUGACGGUACCGGAAGAAUAAGCACCGGCUAACUUCGUG
rnacentral:rRNA from 1 species